AUUGAACGCUAGCGGGAUGCUUUACACAUGCAAGUCGAACGGCAGCGCGGACUUCGGUCUGGCGGCGAGUGGCGAACGGGUGAGUAAUGUAUCGGAACGUGCCCAGUAGCGGGGGAUAACUACGCGAAAGCGUAGCUAAUACCGCAUACGCCCUACGGGGGAAAGCAGGGGAUCGUAAGACCUUGCACUAUUGGAGCGGCCGAUAUCGGAUUAGCUAGUUGGUGAGGUAACGGCUCACCAAGGCGACGAUCCGUAGCUGGUUUGAGAGGACGACCAGCCACACUGGGACUGAGACACGGCCCAGACUCCUACGGGAGGCAGCAGUGGGGAAUUUUGGACAAUGGGGGCAACCCUGAUCCAGUCAUCCCGCGUGUGCGAUGAAGGCCUUCGGGUUGUAAAGCACUUUUGGCAGGAAAGAAACGUCGCGGGCUAAUACCCCGUGGAACUGACGGUACCUGCAGAAUAAGCACCGGCUAACUACGUG
rnacentral:rRNA from 1 species